rnacentral:lncRNA from 1 species
GGCAAUUAAAUUGUCACGGUAGCCAUGAGUGGAGUGAAGUAUUGCUGUGGAGUAGGAGGUGCUUUCACUGAGAAUGCACGCUUUGAGCCUCAGAGAAUCUCCUGAAUGCUUCCCAAGAGUCACGAAACGUGCCUUGGAAUGACCGGCAACAAAGCAGCCUGGAUCGCGCAUGCCGGAAUAAAGCUUUGUCUCAACAAACGGUGGCAGCAGCUCAUUUUUGCCAGGAGGGCUGAAGGAUACUGGGAGAGGGCCCUCGUUCUCCCUCAUGCCAGCCUCGGAACCGAAGAAAACACUGGAGCCCUGAACAGAGGUCCUGGAAAGCCUGCUGCCAGAUAACCUACCCAGUGAUGAUAGAGGCCUGCUUCAUACAGAGCUAUGGGUAUCCUUCACGCAUCUUUCUGAGGGCUGGGGAGGGAGUUUCCUUUGUGCACAGGUCAGAAGGCUGCCUGAGGAAGGGAAUUAGGUUCAAAGUUACAAUUAAGCUGUAUAUUGAUCAUUAACUCUGAAGUUAAACUGCCUUGCUUUCUCCCUCAGAUUCAUUGCAGCAUUUUGGCUGGGACUCUUCUCUUUAACUGUGGCAGAGGCAGCAGAAUCUUUUGGCACUAUUAGAAGGUUCAUUUAUUUAAAGAAGAAAAUGAGACACAGAAUUUUCCUUCAAAGAAAUCAGCUUAGUGAAAUCCAGGGAAGAGAAGAAGCAGUGAGCUUUUACAAAGGACACCAUGAAAAUAGUCUUAAAUAAUUCUUUGAUUGAGUCCUACAUAAUAUGUUAUUUAGAAUUAAAAACAAUUUCACGGGGAACCUGUAUUUUCACAGUACUGAACACAUAUGAAUGUGGGAUGUCGAGCUGGGGAAGAGGGCGCAAAUCUUCUUCCCCUCUCCCACUAUCAGGGGGAAGCCAACAGAAAUGCAAAGCAAAAAAAAAAAAGAGCUAAAAGCCUAAGAAAACAUUUUUCUGGCUUGCCAGUCACACAAGUCUCUGAGCCUUUAUUUUGAAAGAAAUGGCUUGUGUUGAGUCUUCCUUGAUAGAGAAAUUAGAGGGUGAAAGUGAACCGUCAACCUGGAAAAAGACAGGGUCCCUUUAAGCAGUCAAAAAGAAAAAGGUUCAAUUUCUGAACUCAAGAGAUAACUGUGUGCCAGGGCCUCUGGGUAACAUUAAGAUAUGAUCACUUGCUGGGAACAAAUGUUUUCAUCUCCCCCCUUUUAUGUAUUUGGCAAUACUUGUAACGCUGACUCCCUAGUUGCUAUUUCUUUGUUCAGUUUUUCCUUUUGCCUCAGAACUUUAUCACACACCACCCUCCCCUCUGAUAAAUCUUGGCAUAAAAUUCUUGGCAUCUUG